rnacentral:rRNA from 1 species
GGAUUGAAAUGGGCGAAAGCCUGAUCCAGCCAUGCCGCGUGAGUGAAGAAGGCCUUCGGGUUGUAAAGCUCUUUCGGCGGGGACGAAAUUGCGCGGGGUAAUAUCCCGCGUAGAUGACGGUACCCGAAGAAGAAGGACCGGCUAACUACGUGCCAGCAGCCGCGGUAAUACGUAGGGUCCAAGCGUUAAUCGGAAUUACUGGGCGUAAAGCGUGCGUAGGCGGUCUCGCAAGUCCGAUGUGAAAUCCCCGAGCUUAACUUGGGAACUGCGUUGGAAACUAUGAGGCUAGAGUGCGGCAGAGGGGGGUGGAAUUCCAGGUGUAGCAGUGAAAUGCGUAGAGAUCUGGAGGAACACCGAUGGCGAAGGCAGCCCCCUGGGUUAGCACUGACGCUCAUACACGAAAGCGUGGGGAGCAAACAGGAUUAGAUACCCUGGUAGUCCACGCCCUAAACGAUGGCAACUAGUUGUUGGAGGAUGAACUCCUUUAGUAACGCAGCUAACGCGUGAAGUUGCCCGCCUGGGGAGUACGGUCGCAAGAUUAAAACUCAAAGAAAUUGACGGA